rnacentral:sRNA from 1 species
ACGCGGAUUACGGUGGCG